AACUUUUUGUUCUAUUCAGAACCUUUUUCUAAGGAUGGAAAUAGCAAAUAUUAAAGGGCAUAGCUUAAGGUGAGAAGGAGAAAAUUUAAAUGAAAUGUGCACGGCACAUUUUGUUUUACACACAG